GCCUUGCAUGCUGCUUUUCAGAGCUAUCAUCCACUUCCUGACUCUGAUUGGUAUUCUACUCAAUAGUUACAAGAAUUAGUGUCUAUCAUAUCUUAUCUCAUAGCAUUCCAGAAGGAAAUAAUUUGAAACCUUAGCAAAAAAGAUUGCUGAUCACAGUGCUAAAAUAAUCUUCAUUUAUAUACAUUUAAAAAGAAACUGAAGAAAGAAAUUGGCAAAAGAAAGGUAAGGAAGAAAGGCAAAAAGAAAUAAUAGAAUAAAUUAUAAAGAAUUUAUAAAAUAGCUUCAUUGGUGCUUAGACACAGAUCAUGAAUGGAGAGUCUACCAUGUCUGCUACUACCUCUGACCAAGAUCCUCCAGUGAGAAAAAGCACUAAGAGCUCCUGUUGCUUCUAGGGCUGCUCUUUGGCACCAAAUCAAAUGAGUCUAAACCCUCUUCCACAUGACAAUCUAUAUCUUGUAUGAGGGAAAUCAUUGAGAGGAUUUGGUUCAUAAGGAUAGACUGGCAGUUUUUGUGUCCCCUGUAGUCAGUGGGAAAAAAGGCAGCAAUAGACAAAGGAGAUAAGAGAUCAUGAGACAGGGGGCAGGCAGGAUGUCCACUGGACUGCCUCCUGGACUACCUCCUUAGGUGGCCCAGGCAAAAUAGAAAGCCACAGUUGGCUCCUGAGAUGGGAUGUGUGAAAGUCAGUGGGUGGAGAAAAAAAUUUGAUAAACUGAGGCAAGAGCAUAUUUUGGUGUCUUCUCGUAUGUGUUUGAUGCUGGCUGGACUUCUGUUGUGAGCAUGGCUAGGGGGCCCAGAUGGCGGCUACAGAAUAGCAACCUAAAUGGAGCAGCAAGGAAAGUAGUCUCUCUCUCUCUCUCUUCUAUCCUAUUCCCCUACUUAUUUUUGAUUAAAUAAAAUUAUUAGCUUUAUGACCAGUUUCAUAAUUUCCCCCCUAUUAUAACAUUCUCUUAAUCAGACUGAAUAUCACCAAUUCUUUCAUCUCUCAACCCUCACAUGGAUUGAAUUUGAGGGUUUUUACUGUCACAGCUACCUUCUUUU
rnacentral:lncRNA from 1 species